UUAAGAAUAUGUUAGCUGUUGGAAACUUAUGGAAUUGAGUAAAAUUCCUGAAUAAAAUAUUCAUGGGUGACUAGAAAAUUACAAUUCAUUUUGCAAUAGCCUUAUAAUAUUAUUAAGGACCACGGGGCAAAAUUUUAGAAUUUUUAGAGCUUGUUUGAGUGGAUUUUUGAAAAAUGUCAAUUAUAGGGACUAAAAUGUAAUUUUUAAGAUUUUGAAUAUUGUCUGAUUUGGAGGGCCCAGGAGGGGCCAUGUGAUAUUGAUGAGAUGUGAUUGUGGGAAUUGAGAAUUUAGAAGUGUUAUUUGAGCAUUUUUGCAGGUUGGGUAGGUCCCAGGUAUAGGGGAGACUCUGCCGGAUUUUCGGCAUGAAUUAGGCUGUCUAUUGCCUCUUUAGAGUUUUAUCUUAACUUAGUACUAAUAAAUUUAUAAUUUAAUUAUUAGGUGAUCGAGGUCAGCUAUUUUCUGCAUCCAGCAGCCACAAUAGUCAUCGGUGUACUGCUACAGGAGGAGACAUUUUUCAGAAUAACCUGUCUCUUUCCUCUCAGGUUAUGAAAAGAUUACUUAAUUGUAUUAUUAUUCUCUAAAUUUGUAAUUUAGGACUCCGCAUGUGCUAGUAGUAGCAUUAAGCCUAUCAGAGACUGUAUGAAUUCAAGUUUUCAUAUUAAUAAAUGAAAAGAAAAAAAAUUUUAUGA